GGGUGAAACAUUCCCUCGUAGGGAAUUUCCAGUUGAACUGAGAAAUCCAGGUGGCCUUGAGAUAUUUCUCCUGUUUUUAAUCUCCACCUGUUGUCACAUGCCAGGUCUGCACUGUAACUCCAGCUAAUAACGGUAACUUCCAAAAUUUGGAGACAACUCCAGCAGUCAAACUUAACAACGCUUUGAUCAAAUUAUAAAACUAGUGAC
rnacentral:lncRNA from 1 species